GUGCUUGUUUUGGCACCACAUAAAAUAAAAUUAGAAAGAUACAGAGAAGACUAGCAUGGCCCCUGGGCAAGGAAGACACUCAAAUGUAUGAAGUGUUCCUAAAUAAA
ensembl:snRNA U6 U6 spliceosomal RNA